CCCCUUUGAAGUUGUCUGUUUUCCAGGCUGUGGAUUCAUUGAAUUCAAACCAUGCCUACAAUCAGAUACUGCUUUUCUGCAGACCAAGUUCUCCUCAAAGGAAAAAUAUCUAUUUGCAGACACAAACUGAAUCCAAAUCACAUUUGCAAAUGGACAAUUUCAAAUGGGCUUGCUGUCUGCACGAAUCAGCUGGUCGGCACUGCUGGUGAGUCUUGCUUGCUGAAAAACAAUUAGGAGCAUGCUAGUUUUUUUUGUAGCUACAUACUUACCUGCCCCACAC